rnacentral:rRNA from 1 species
UACAGAGGUCUCAAGCGUUGUUCGGAUUCAUUGGGCGUAAAGGGUGUGUAGGUGGCGUCCGUAAGUCGGGUGUGUAAAUUUCGGAGCUUAACUCCGGAAACUGCGAUUCGAUACUGCGGUGCUUGAGGACUGGAGAGGAGACUGGGAAUUCAUGGUGUAGCAGUGAAAUGCGUAGAGAUCAUGGAGGAAGACCAGUGGCGAAGGCGGGUCUCUGGACAGUUCCUGACGCUGGAGGCACGAAGGCCCAGGGGAGCAAACGGG